UCCCUGGUGGCUCAGGUAAAGCGUCUGUCUACAAUGCAGGAGACCCCAGGUUCGAUCCCUGGGUUGGGAA
rnacentral:tRNA from 1 species